ensembl:ncRNA lncRNA:CR44670 long non-coding RNA:CR44670
AUUUCAAGUCGUUUGCACAAUGCGACCACAAAUCAUCAUUAAUUGGCUUGUCAGUGGCACAAAGGAUUAAAAAGCGCACAUAACCGCAUCGAAGCGAGUCCAAAACUUUUCCGAUUUGACAUGAAAACUAAAAAGAACCCACACACUUACCACAUUUCCAUCCCCCACCGAAAGCCAAAUAAAUUUUAAUUGAAGAACUUGCCUAGUCCCUGUAAUUAUGCUUCACACACAAGGCGUCAAAGGCCCCAUGGGACUGGCGGGGGUUAAUGAAAACUAUGGAAAUGGAAAACCUUUCAACGGACCCAAGCUGAAUUCAAUUUGCCCGCCUAAGAAAAUCAGCCAAGAAAAGGAACUGAACUUGAUGGCACAUUUGCAUUUCGUCUCGAACAGUUCAAAGUGUUU